rnacentral:lncRNA from 12 species
CGGGGGGUGGAAGAGGAGGGCGGAGGGGGGGCUGGAGAAGGGAUGGCGCGGCGCCAAAUUCCGCUCUGCCAUGUCUCUGUAACCUGAAUAGGCCAACUCCAUCCCCGGUGCGAGUCCCCCGGGGCUCUGCCGCGCUCCGAUGCAAUCAGGCGGGAGGUGGCUGUCGCUCGGCUCUUGGCGAGUGCCCCCGCUAGCCCAGCAGCCCCAGCCCGGCUCCCUCCCGGCCAGCGGCCGGAGCCGCUCGGGCAAAGGGGGCCCCCCCCCCCCCCCCCCCCCCCCCCCCCCCCCCCCCCGGGAGCCGCUCGGGCAAAGGUGGAGAUGGUUGGGGGCGAGGGGUUGGCACCGCGGCGGGGACGGGGUGGCCAAGGACAUCCCGGAGCGGGGCGGCCAGAGGGGGAGAAGCCGUGGAAGCCCGUGGAAGGUUACGGGAAGCCUGGGGGGGCUGGCGCUGCCCUGGCCUCCUUAGAGGAGGCAGCAGAGACCCGGGGCAGGCUAUUUCUGCUGAGAUCCCGAGGAAAGCUCUGGGAGAAUUGUGGGCUUCUAUAAAUAGUGUGUGUCAGCCGAGUGGAAACAGGGCCUUGAAAUGCUCCUGCUAUUCUCCCGAGUGCUUGGAACCAGCUCUUGGUAAACAGGGCAGCGGUGGGGAGGGCUGUUUCCUUCUUCCGGGCUCGGUAACAGGAGCGGGAGGGAUGUGGGGGGGAUUUUUGCCUGGUGAUAUGGCAGCGUUCCCCCCCUGGGGCCGGCCGCCUGGAUGCUGGGCUGUGGCCGGGCUGCCCGGAUGCGGGAUGGCCCCUGAAUGCAUCGCAGAUGUGUGUCCUCCCCCACUGCCGUCCCCUCCCCGCCCCACUGUCCGCCAAACUUCGGCGCUGGGAUGCGUCCGGGCACGGUCCUCAGGGAGCCCGUGAUGCCGGGGGAGGUUUUGGGGAUGUGAGGGCUCAGCUGGCCAGGAGAUGCUCAGCACACCCCCUCCUCCGGCCGGCACGGGGGUGUGUGGGGUCACAGCCCGGUUCCCUCUGUCCCCACCGCGUGUCCAUCCGUCCGUCUAUCCCGGCUGGAGUUGUUCCCGCUCCGCCUCAGGGCACACGCUGAGCGCUGCCUUGGCCCCGUGCGCGUGCUGGAGGGCAAGGAUUUGUUCCCAUGGGACCUUCCCGGGCAUGUCUGGACACCCAGGGUGCCGGGGACCUUGUUCCUCGGGGGGUUCUGCAUGCAGCGGGGACAUGCUGACAUGUCCCCAGGGUGUUUGCUUGGCUCUGGGGCACAUCCACAGCCCCGGUGCUGUGGUGAGCGUUCAGCUUCCCACGAGGACCUGGCACCGCGCUCAUUUGCCACCACCCCUCGCACCCACACCCCGGUAUUCACCCUGUGGUGCAGACAGCUCAAAAGCUGCCUUGUUAUUAUUUUCCUUAAAAAUAACACAAAAGGGAAAUAACUGGGCUGUGCUUAGCUCCCCACUGGGAGUUUUUAGGGUGAUGUACAGUGGGCUGAACGGUGGGAGGGAUCCAGCACACUUCUGGUGGGAUUUGGAGUUGGAUUCGGAGUUCAACAGGGUGUCACAGGGCUGGGGGCUCACCCCAUCCCUGUGUGCUGCCUACCCGGGUGCUCGGUGCCGGCACAGCGGAGCGUGGUCUCGGCGUGGGUGGGAAGGGGCGAGCGCCAGUCCGGUGGGUUUUGUGUUUUUUUCUUUUUUUCCUCCUCCUUUUUUUUUUUUUCCUUUUUUCUUUCUUUUUUUUUUUUCCCCUCCCUCUCUGUGGGUUGAGCGUUGGGGCGACAGACAGGGAAAGUCUGAGCAAUGGUCUCCGUGCUGGUGCUGUCUUCAAUCACCGCGUCCCAGAAUCCCUCGCUCUGGGCCUUCUAGGCACAAGGGCUUACAGCGAAAAUCGGCAGCUGCAGCUGCGAGUGAAAGCACAAGAGCCCGGCUGGGUCUUUGGCAUCGGCAGGAGAGCAAAAAAAAGCUGGGGGAGGCGAGGAGGGAAGGGAAAAGGCGGGGGAAAAUGUGCCCUGUGGUUUUUUUCCAGGCUUGCCACCGAGGGUUGUGUUUCAGAGCAUCGGUUCCCGGGCGCGGGAAGAGGCGGGAGGAUGGGGGGUGCGCAGCGAUGCCUCCGGGGAGCUCAUUAAAAUCUGCCGGCUCCCCCCUUUCUCCGGCCGGGAGAGGCUGGAUGCGGAGGGAAGGAGGGAGGGACGUGCUGGAAGGAACACGCCGGCAGAGCGCUGCCCGGUGGGGACAGCUGCCGGCCCGGGCAGGAACGCGGCCCCGGGCGCUCACCUGUCGGAGCACGCCGGGCGCGCCGUGCCAGCGAGCCCGGGACAGGGGCCGGGAUCCCCCGGAGCUGGAGCUGCGAGACACCCCGGCCCUGAGCCGGGCUCGGAGCUGCCCGGGUGCCGGGGGCGCUGGGGAGGUUCGGGGGGCUUGGGGCCAUGCCGGGGGUCAGCGGGGCGCGGGCAGGAAGGGGAGUGAGAACGGGAGGUGCCAGCACGUGCAUGGGCAGCGUCGGCAGCGCUGGCAGGGCUGGCGCAGGUGCGGUGUGUGGACAGGGCUGGGUGCAGAGGCAGACGCGGGCGUGCAGGAAGGGUUUGGUGUGCAGGUAGAGCUCGGUGUACUGGCAGGUUUGGUGUGCACAGGGAGGGUUUGGUGUGCACAGGGAGGGUUUGGUGUGCAGGCAGGUUUGGUGUGCACAGGGAGGGUUUGGUGUGCAGGCAGGUUUGGUGUGCACAGGGAGGGUUUGGUGUGCACAGGGAGGGUUUGGUGUGCACAGGGCAGGUUUGGUGUGCAGGCAAAGAUUGAUGUACAGGGAUGA